rnacentral:piRNA from 1 species
UAUAUAUGUUAUAUAUAUCUUUGUCAGGAA